rnacentral:rRNA from 1 species
UACGAAGGGGGGCUAGCGUUGCUCGGAAUCACUGGGCGUAAAGGGUGCGUAGGCGGGUCUUUUAAGUCAGGGGUGAAAUCCUGGAGCUCAACUCCAGAACUGCCUUUGAUACUGAGGAUCUUGAGUUCGGGAGAGGUGAGUGGAACUGCGAGUGUAGAGGUGAAAUUCGUAGAUAUUCGCAAGAACACCAGUGGCGAAAGGCGGCUCACUGGCCCGAUACUGACGCUGAGGCACGAAAGCGUGGGGAGCAAACAGG